GUCUUGUGCCAUCCUUAAGGAACAGGAAAGACGAGCUUACCCAAAUCAGAAGAGUAAAGUGAGAUGAUGUGGAGCUUGAAAGGUCAUUGGUGACAGAAAAUACAGCCUCCCUAUGGUGGGAGCAGAGGAGGGCCAAAAGUGAGUUCAGUCCUGAUAAAAGCAUUUAAUUUCCACAUACUCUCACUGGAAGAAGUUUGGUUUCUCUGCAGAUGCCCAGAGAAGAGACUGAGUUCACUUCAUUUGUGCACAUAUUUCACUGUUGAUGAAUCAAACCAACAUGAAAUGGGAGAAGAAACUUUCUACAAAUGACUGAACAGAGUCUGCGAAUCUUACUGACUGAUCUAGGAAGUAAUGCAAGCUGGUUUUUAUUUGACAAAAGGAGAAGAAGAAGUGUACAGUCUGCCCAGCAUGAAAUUUUGCUGUUCAUCUUAACCAGAAAACUACCAAAGCAAACCUCACAGCUCAUCAUUCUUGUCUGCAAUAUUUCAUAUAUCUUGGAAGUGGCACCUCACACCUCGGGCAGUUUCCCUGUGCAGGUGCCCUCCUCCAGCAGGAGGAGCUGCAGGAGCAGCAAAGGCUCAAGCUGCAGCUCUCAUUGAACGGAUCUGAGCUGGAACAGCCCUCUUCUCUAGGUCCAGGGUCAGAUUUCUGCACUUCAGGACAAUCAUCUGACAGUUGUCUGACAAUCAUCGUGCAAUCAUCUGUGCAGUCAUCUAGCUCCAUAGAGGAUUACUGAUCACCAGCUGGAUCCUGGGGAAGUCAUGAAGUCUGAGCUGAGCAGCACUAGUCUCUGUUUAUGCACCUGCCACCUCCUAGGUUUCAAAAAGGGAGCUGAAGCCAUCAGGCAUCAUAGACCAAGAUGGAUACUGACAUGCUAACAGCCCAGGGACCACCAGGGCAUGCAGCCAGAUUCCUUUAAAGGAAAUGUAUGGUUUUUGCUGGACUUAUGUUUAGCUGCUUGAAAUCUUGAAUGUAUUAAAGUACAACUUUAGGUAAAACCUAGGCUGUUUCAGUUCACUUUUUCCUCCAUUUGGUCAAUACUAGAAUUACCUAGAGGCAAUAGACAUUUUUAAAAACAAAAAGUUAAGAAGACUCACAUCAUUGAGUUAUUUGGUUUUGCUUGCUUUCCUCAGUUGAAUGUCUCUGAUACACUAUUAACAAAUCAGCAAAAGCCUCAUUCUUUCUCAGGUUAAUAAGCAAUCAUUUUCAUAGAUUACUAUACACUUGUGGAAGAGUUCUAAGUGCAAGGAUCCUGUGCUGUUGCACUAAUAGCUAGAUGCCCAGCACGUGCAGGUUGUGUCACUUACUAGGCUGCUGAGUCGUUGAGCUCAUACUCUGAUGCCCUUGCAAAGCAUGCCUGGAUCCCACCGUCUUUCCACAGUUGUUUGAUGAGUUCAACCAGCUCAGAAGACAUGUCGCCAUCAUGCAGAUUUGUUUCCAUGUCACAGAGUUUCUUUUCAUCUUCCUAAGAAGAAAUUUCAGUAAAUAUUCUGCAAACAUACUGUACCCUCCUUCGGGAUAUGCUUGGUUUACAGUGAAUUGCAGUGUCGGGGAAAUUUCUCAUUUUCAUAGUAUUUUCCAUGUAGCUGUACUCACCUGUGCAUGCAAACAUCCUUUUACAAGCUCGCUUUACAUUAGGUAGUGAAAAAGUUAGACUCAAAUUGGGAUACGGAGUUUUUUGCUUUUUACUGUUUUCUUUUAUUCAUACAAGGGCUCAAUUUCAUCUCUCUGUAGGUGUUCACAAAAGGUCCAACUUUAAAGGAAGGCUUUUCUUUUUAAGACAGAAUAGCAAAUUAUCUAAAACUAAAUGUAAAAGGGUAAGCAUAUUAAGACUAUACUAGGGCAGAAAUAUAUAGUUAAUGUAAUUAUGAAUAUAUUUGGGAGAAAGAAUUUCUAGUUCUAAUACAGAAUGAGAAAGGAGGCAAAGGAAAUAUAAAUAGUGAAUGCCUUUUUUAUUUGUUUUGUUUUGUUUGUUUGAUGGAUUUAUUUUUUUUCUCCCUAGGAGAAGAAGAAACCUGAAAAAUUCCAAAUAUUUUAUAUAUGUAUUCUCUAAACUCUUCCUUUUGCCAAGUCAUUCCAAAAAGUCUUCAAGUAAUCUGUUACAUUACAAAUAUUUCUUUUCAGUAGUUAAUGACAUAGUAAUGCACUAUAAAUAAAAAAAAGUAUGAUUAAAAUAGGGUCAAGCAGUGGGCAAUUAUAGAGCGUAAUUCCUUCCCAGCCAUAAAUUAGACAACUGAAGCAACUUGCAGUCAACAGCUGCAAAAGUAGAAAUGAAUUCUGACAGACCCUAUUUUGUCAGGGAGUGUGUUCUAUUCAAAAGUGGAAAACAUCUUCUCAAUAAUUUAUAAGAAAUUAUUUUAGGAAUGUGAUGUAUUUUUUACAUUUCACUAGAAAUUGCAGUUUGUAGAAAUGUUGUGAAAACCAGAGACUGAUCAAAAGAAAAAGAUAGAAGGUUUUGUAAAAUAUUGGUGAAAUUAAGUUAACAUGCAGAUGUAUGGUGGAAAAAUAGAAACUUAGUUUUGUUUAAAAGAAAAAAAGAGAACAGUACAAUUGUCCUUGUACUUUCAAAAACCCCACAAACAAACAGCUCCAUUCUGCAGCUGCAUUCUGCAGCCCCAUCCUACAGGUCAGUGCUGUGGUCAGCAGUCCUGACUCAUCACUUCUUCUGUAUGCAAACUCAUUUGUCUUCAGGGCUGCUGUCUGGAGUGCACACAUGUUCAGUUUCAAGAUGACAAUUGGCAAGUUCUCACAGUGAUGAUAUCACAUAUCAUUUAAUGUUUACAACUGUUCUCCUGCAAUGCUGGAACUGUUGGUUGAGUAGUGUAUAAUGAGAAGCCUUGAGCUCAUUGGUUAUUAUGCAAAAGGUGGCAACCAUGGAUUUUGUUUCUUACGUCAAAAAGGAAGAUAGCAGCAGACAGAGUUUAUCAUACCUCUGGUUUAUAUAAUGUUUUGUUUGUCUCUGCUACUUAGACAAUAUGAUUUAAAUUCAAAAAUAGAUUGCAAUGGGGGAAAAAAAAAACAAGGCAAAACAAAGAAAUGAAGCAAACAAAAACCCUGAGAAAACAAAUUAAAAAAAUAAGCAAAAAAAUAACCAAGCCUCUCUCCCCAGAUCAGGUGCUGUUCAAAACUGCUUGUUUAGGCACUUUCAGUAUCACAGAGUGGUUUUUACAGGCAGUCCUGGAACAUGGUAACUCACUGCUUUCAGGGCUCAAGAUAAGCUCAGUCAGUGCCUAAAUGGCUUUAGUCAGAUAAUUCUGGACCAGAACUCAGCAAGAACGAAGUCCAGCUGAAGUCAAGCUUUAUAUGUAAACAGUUCAAACUUAUGUAUGUGUAACAAUUUUACAGAAAAAGCAAGCUAGCUUUGUGUUUGGAAGAUGGGGUAAUGUUCAGAAAAUGUGACUGAAAUUUCCAGAGUCUUAAAGCUUAAAGCCAGAUUGCUCUUCUGUGAUUCUGGGGGAAAAGAAACAAGGCACUGCAAAUGCUUUAUACAAGUGUAGUUGACUGGAGGCCUAUCCUGCCAGUGUCACUGAAAAUAAGGGUGGACUUACUGUGCUGUAAGUGAUAAACAGACAAUAUCUGUACUUUCUGCAUUUGUUUUGUAUGAUGUUCAGAAAUGAACUGUGCCUAUUUAACAAAAAUAAAUAAAUAAAUAAAUAAAUAAAAUCAA